CCAGUUAGCGUUCUAAUCUGCAUAGAAGCUAGAAGUUUAAAACAAGAGCUUCAAAACAAGAGCGAGCUUACCGGAGUGUUAGUUCUGACAUUCCAGAUCCGCAAGGUGCUAUCAGUCGAUGCGGACACGAGCUCCUCCGGCGUGAUGAACUUCACGUACGAGACGGUCUUUUGGUGGCCGCUAAAGGUGUGGACUGGCGAAGCAGGAGAGCGCAAAUCGUAGUAAUGUAUGCGGUGAUCGGCCGAUCCAACCUGCAAAUGCUUGGAAAUGAAUAAAACACCACUGUACCAAACCGAUAACUCACAAGAGAUAGAAAAAGAGUACCGCUACAAAAUUGCUGGAGCUGGGAUUGAACUUGACGCAGCAGAUGUUGGCUUUCAUGUCGAUUCCCAUGACGCUGCUCUCCUGUCGAGUAGACCACACUUUGAGCUGCAAGUUUUUCUCAAAGUUAGAUGGAAACAAAGAAUUUUCAAAAAGAUACGUUCUAACCUUGCCAUCGUCACUGCCAGAAACAAGUAAAUUGGGAUCGGUUCUAGCAAAAUCGACACUCCACGCUCGCUUGGCAUGCUCUUCGUACUCCAUGAUACUCUGAAAUCAAGAUAGGAACGGAAGCUCUCGCCCGUCUCACUAGGAUCUUGUGAUUGCUUUCGCUUUUGCAAAUAACAAUCUUGCAGGUCUUCAAAAUGUGCACCACACACAGAGGAAGUUGGCCGACUGUUACAAUCAAGAAAUCCAAGGAGCAUACCUGAGAAAGCACUCGCCUCUUUUUCGAAAGAACCUCACUUUCUCUCACUCCAGACGUUCCCUCGUCAUCAGUUUGCGCUCGCUUAAGACGAGCUUUUUCUCCAUCCGGGGAGCUCCCUUCCGCUUCGGACGCCUUGACACGACAGCGAGAGCUAGGAAGCUUUUGGUGAACAGGCGACGCAUGACGUUCUUUGGAUUUCUUCAAACUAGUCGCCUGCUUUUCAACAGCAGCAAUGUCUUCCUUGAGCCAUUGCAGGUCUGUUUGUAUCUGAACGAAGAAAACGUCGUGAGUAAGAUCACAGGUCCGGAGUUCUCACCUCGUUUAACUCUUGCUGCUUCUGUUGCCUCGACCGCUGCAAGAAAUCAUGCAAGACCUCCAAAUUUGUUUCAGUCAACAAACUCAAAAGUGUAUCGAUGUCUUUCAUCGAGAUGUCUGCUCCCUGAGAAUCACAAACAAAACAUCAGCACUAUAACUAAAAACCAAACUUUUCGACAAAAAAGACCUGUUUGAGAGCAAGCCGCAGGUGCUCUCCCGGUGACGUAGAGCUGGCAACUUGGCACACACUCGCCUUCCUCAAAUCUCCAACAGAGGAAACCAUGGAACAUCAAACUUCCGAGCAAGAUGGCAAAACAAAUCGAAGGUACCUUGUUGAGAAGGAAAUUCGGGUAGAGCUGGCCGCUGGUCAAGUAAGCUCCACAGCAGGGACAGUUGCUCUUGAUGUUUAGAUGCGUCAUGAUGCACAGCUGUGGCCGCAGCUCGUCAAAAACGCGUCUUUGAUCGUCUGGAUGCAUAUCGGGCACAGGAAAUCCCUGUCGAGCUCGAGAUUGUAGCUGGAGGCCUCGGUUCUCGUCCCACACACGGAUGGAACUUGGGCAGCGUCAGAGGAGCGAGCUUGCAUCUCCGUGAGCCUCUAUCAUUCUCUCGCCUUAAUAGGACGAACUUACAAGACCCCGCGCUUCUUCUUUUCUGCCUUCUUCGUCUUCUCGCCCGUCCCGCUCUAGGGAUUAUUGUUGUGUGAGAGAGCGAGGAAUGUCGGGCAUAUUCUAAGGGUGAUUACGUGGCCGGCCGUGAUUGGAGGACAUCUCAGGUCGGUAAGAAGCCACGAUAAGGGCCAUCCCGCCGUCCAGGCCCACGUGGUGUCUACCAGCUUCAACUUCGUCAAACCAACCAAGAGUCAAGUCAAUGCGUAGAGAUGAUGGUGUGAAAUGUGCUCCGGAAUAUGCUCUCUAGCUUUUGACGAUCGUCUCGGCCUCGGCGGAUGGCUCCAUAGCUCUCAUGGACCUGAGGCACGUCAUGAGGAAAGGAAGCAUCAAGUCGAGAGCAGCGGCCACGGUGAAGCGCCCCUACAAAAUGAAAGGAGACACUGCGCAAAGGAUGCUGUCCAGCGGUGGCUCUUGCGCUUACUCAGUGGACUUGGCUCGGACAGGAUUGUGAGUGCCGGGGAGGGGACGGCGAUCAAGGUCUGGGACUUCUCCCAGGCUCUCGAGUUUGAGAAGAAAACACAGGCGCUUCGAAGCGUCCGGAGAGAGCAGAGAGCUCAGCGGAAGCUCGCGAUUAAGAACAGGAGAAAGGAAUGACUGCCAGGAACUUCGGUUCAGGGAUAAAGGGGAUCGACUACACAAAGUUGGUAACGCUCGAUAUCGAUCUCAACUCACCGACAUUAUUUCAAAACAAAAUGGUCUUGAAGAUCAUGCUUCUGGAGAUUAGUCUCCAGUAAAAAACCUCAAUUAUUUCCAAAUAUCUAACACGAAGAUCAUGCCAAAAAACCAAAGUUUUCAAUAUCUUAAAAGUAUCAAAGAAAGAUCAAUCACGAAGAACCACGGAAAGAAGGUUGCGAACCUGUCGCAUCGUUGGCCUGUUUCCCGGAUUGCUAUCUAUGCAUCGCAGCGCCGUGACAAGCACUCUGGUGGCCUCCUCCGCGUUGAAAACUCCCUACAGCCUUGGAUCCACGACACCCAAGAGCUUCCCGGCCGCGUACUGCUCCUCCACCCAUGGCACCAGCAGCCAUGCGUUGUGAUCCUUCUCCUUGGAGCUCCCAAUCACCCGCCUCCCAGUCACAACCUCGAGCGUCACCACGCCAUAGCUGUAGACAUCCGACGCGGGCGUGAACUUGUAUGUGACCCCGACCUCGGGCGCGAUGUAUCCCAGCGUCCCCGCGAGCGUGGUGGUGCGUGAGCUCACGUCAUGGCUGGCUGUGCGCGCGAGGCCAACGUCGCCCAGCCUCGCGCGAAACUCUUCGUCCAGCAUCACGUUGCUGCAUUUCACGUCGCGGUGGAUGACCUGCUGCUCCCAGUCCUCGUGGAGGUAGAUGAGUGCGGCGGCGNNNNNNNNNNNNNNNNNNNNNNNNNNNNNNNNNNNNNNNNNNNNNNNNNNNNNNNNNNNNNNNNNNNNNNNNNNNNNNNNNNNNNNNNNNNNNNNNNNNNGUCGUAGACGAGGACGAGCUCGCGGUGGUCGCGCGCGCAGUGCCAGCCGCGGAGAGGGACAAGGUUACGGUGGCUGCGCUUGCUGAUGAUCUGGAGCUCCGCCAGGAACUCGCGCUCGCCCUGGUGCGAGUCCCGCACCAUCUUCUUGAUGGCCACCGGGGAGUUCUCGCCGGGGAGGAUGCCACGGUAGACCUUGCCGAAGCCGCCUGUGCCCAGGAGGUUGUGCUCGGGUGCCGGAGGUGAGCUGCGCUUAGGGAAUCUCGUGUGGCAGCGGCACAAGGUCCUUGGACGAGCUCUUCUUCUUCUUCUUCUCGGAUGGGAAGCCAAGUUUGCUCCAGGGAUUUUUGACAAGCCAGCUGACGACCGCGAGGAGCAGCAACGCGGCCAGGAACGCCAGGAGUGAUGCAGUGACGAUGAAGUAAACCUUGAAUCGAUCUUUCUACUUUCCACCAUCGACCACUGUCACUGGUGAUGGAGGAGGAAUCCUCUCCAAUCUGCUCGAGAAGUUCCAGGACAGGAUCCGGUGGAAGUCGAGGUUGGCGGUGCCAGAGCCGGCAGAGAAGCCCACGUACGAGACAUCGCUGACAUAGGCGCACAAAUUCACGCUGUGCUCCAGCACCGGGUCGCCCAAGUUCCGGAACGAUGGGUCGGAGGAGACGAACACUCGCAGCCUCUGCACGGCGGCAUCGUAAUCGAUUCUCGCCGCGACGGUACCGAUGCCAAGAGAGAUCCUCCGCGGAUAGAGCGAGCUCGAGUUCACGGACAGGAUCCCGUUGAUGUCGAGGCCGACGUGGUUGUCAUCGAUGUCCUGGAACUCGGGAUAGACUGGUGGAAAGUUCAUGAAAGUGUCGAAUUCCACCGCGACGAUGCGGUUGCUCGCGCGGCCAUUCGCGGCGGGAUCGAACAAGCCCAGCCAGCGGCCAUAGCCAGCGGAGGAGGUGGGGACGAGGUUAGGGGCGAUAGUGAACGCGAGGCCAUCGGCAUUGACCAGUGUGGAGUCGUUCUUGGUGAUGGCGAAGACGAACUCGGUGGAGAAGGAGGCGCCGGCGCCGGCGGAUGCGUUGCAAAGCUGGAUCUCCUGCUGCUUCAUGAUCCUGCCAUAGCUCGACAGGCGAUUGCCGGUGAGCCGGAGCUCGUCAUUGUUGAAGGUCGCGUCACCAGUGGCCACAAAAUCGUUGCGUGCCUGGGGCGAGAAGUUGCUGUAUGUGAAACUUACGUGAUCAUCAAGCGCUGCUGUUGCGCCUAGUGCCACGAUCGAAAGCACGAUCGCCAGAGCUUUGGCCAUUGGACCAACCAACGCUAGAAGAGCAAACUCGUGCGUGGUCGACACGGCUAGACCGAUCAUUUUAACCAGUGAGGCAGCGAGAGCUGUUGAAGCAUGAUUUAAUACUUUGAAGGAGGUCCGGGUUCAAUCCUCGGCCUGUUCAAGUCCAUUUUCCAUCGUCUCUUUUGUUAUCGGUACCUUGACAGGAUAGUUCCCGGAACUCGAGCCUUUUUUAAUUAGUGAGCAAUCUGUUAGUAACACUUUCGGUGGACGAUGUUUGGCCCAUACUCAUCGUAGUCUCCCUUGGUGAGAUGCUGGUUUUGAGGGAACACCACCUUGGCGAGGAUGGCGCCGCCAAUCCAUGCCGAGUAUUGCAGCGUCCGCUCUGGCAUGUACUCCGGAGGCUGCGAAAGCGGAGAGAAUGAGAAAGACGAAAGCCAGAAAAGUUUCACUGCUUCUUCUUUACCUUCACUACGGAGGGCCGCAAGGAGGGAGUUCCGUGAAGAGACACCUCCUUCUGAAAGCGAGCUUCAAAACCUGGGAAGUGCUUGGAAGGUGAGCUAGGAAAAAACGAGGAUGGAUUCUUGCCUUUCAUCGUUGAAGUGCCUCCACACAGCACAAUGUUCUCGAUCAGAGGCUUCUGGCAUUCGGCAGGAGAGCAGAGCGAAAGGCUUCUCACAAGCUGCUCCGUGAUCCCGUAUUCCUGGAUUUCCACAAGUGAUGGCUGAUAGAGCACCUCACCAAGUGUGUAUCUUUCACUUCCAACAGAAAUGACCUGUCCCCACAAACACGAGCUAAGAAAACAUACACAGCAGCAAAAGCUUACCCGACCGUCAGGUAGCGUGUGUUCUAUGACAGAUCCCUCAGCCACCUUCUUCUCGUAAUCCACAGAAUCGUCCAGACUCACUGCUACUGCUUCUUUGAUCUGCUCCAGCGCAAAACCAUCCAGCUUCGUGUGAGGAUUGGACUUGGCCAGCUUAGUCCCGAGGAGCUCUGUCAAGUCCUGUCCAGCGUACUCGAACCGCUUGACGGCGUUGUGCUGGAUUCCACCCUCCCACACGGGCGCAAUAUCUGCAGCGAAAACAAGUCUUGUGCACCAUUCGUUACAUUGUUACACAACGUUACCAGAGCCACUGUGAAUGAGUACCUAUUUUCCCAUGUCCGACGUCCACUGCACAGCCAGAGAUGCGUCCCACAGCAUACACGGACAGCACUGGUUGCUCCACGGCAUAGAAGCCAUUCACAUUGAAAGUUUCAAACAUAAGUUGGACGGUCUUCUCCCUUGCAAUCUGUCACAGAAAAUCAAGCAUGAGUUUCAAACAGUUCACAGAUGCCAUGACGAUGACAAGGAGUCCAAAAAAAAAGCGAAAACCAUGUCCAUGACUUGAUACAAAGAAGAAGUCAUGCAAAAAGAUAGAAGAACAAGGAUACCGAAAACCAUGUCUCCCUAGCUACGAGUGAACACAAAGAAGUCAGUCAUACAAAAUGAAAGAAAGAAGAACGAAGGAAACAAAGAAAGGACAAAAGAAAGAGGCUUGCCUUUCGUGUGAGCAGUGAGUCGGCAAUUAAAAUUUGGCCCUCGUUUCCAACCUCCCAGCCCAGGCCUGUGUAGAAAACAUACCUCCACAGGUCUUCCAUGGCUUCCCAGUCAUGGAUAGCUCCUCUCUCGAUGGGAUUCACGGCAUUCUCCUUCCAAUCGUCUCCAUUCAAGUCGAUCUUGUCGAUGUCGCCCUCGUCCGCCUUGGUCAUUGCCGUUUGCAUCACCUACAGGCGGAGCGCAAGCAUCUAAACCCAAUGUCGAUGGAUUCCUAGAGUGAUUACCAGCUGAGGAUCUUGCUCGGGGAUCGCGAAGCCGGCCUUGAGCAGCCUGGAGCCGGCGUCGAUCACUAUCGCCUCUGCUGCCAUAGCGGACAAGAACCCUAAAAUCUCUCGGUUUGCUUUAUAUCUCGCGUUCGAUUCUCCUGGCUAACAAAAAGCUAACGAAACUUCGUCGUUAGGCGGCCAUAACUAGAACUUUGAUGGUUCCCUGGCUAUUGGCGGCUAACAAAGUUGGACUGUCGCUCUUCCAACACACGGCGCUGAUGAAAUGCAAUGAGUCGUCUAAGCUUCCAAAUCGGUGUCGAGUUGCUGGUCUAGAAAUCGCCUGAAAAAAAAAGAGAAAAGUAUAAGAAACACUUCCGAAGAUGAGAAGAAAAAUUCGCAUUUUUACCUUGUGAUACACGAACACUUCGUUGGUUUCACUUCCACAGGUUACGUAGUCACUGUUACCGCUCAAACCAACGAAGUUCCUCUCGUUUAUAUGCCCAGUUAGCGUUCUAAUCUGCAUAGAAGCUAGAAGUUUAAAACAAGAGCUUCAAAACAAGAGCGAGCUUACCGGAGUGUUAGUUCUGACAUUCCAGAUCCGCAAGGUGCUAUCAGUCGAUGCGGACACGAGCUCCUCCGGCGUGAUGAACUUCACGUACGAGACGGUCUUUUGGUGGCCGCUAAAGGUGUGGACUGGCGAAGCAGGAGAGCGCAAAUCGUAGUAAUGUAUGCGGUGAUCGGCCGAUCCAACCUGCAAAUGCUUGGAAAUGAAUAAAACACCACUGUACCAAACCGAUAACUCACAAGAGAUAGAAAAAGAGUACCGC
rnacentral:lncRNA from 1 species